rnacentral:rRNA from 1 species
AACUUGGGGAAACUCAAGCUAAUACCGCAUACGCCCCAUGGGGGAAAGCGGGGGACCUUCGGGCCUCGUGCUAUCGGAUGAGCCUGCGUUGGAUUAGCUAGUUGGUGGGGUAAAAGCCUACCAAGGCGACGAUCCAUAGCUGGUCUGAGAGGAUGAUCAGCCACACUGGGACUGAGACACGGCCCAGACUCCUACGGGAGGCAGCAGUAGGGAAUAUUGCGCAAUGGGGGAAACCCUGACGCAGCUAUGCCGCGUGUGUGAAGAAGGCCUUAGGGUUGUAAAGCACUUUCA